GAUGAAGAACGCAGCGAAAUGCGAUACGUAAUGUGAAUUGCAGAAUUCAGUGAAUCAUCGAAUCUUUGAACGCAUAUUGCGCUCUCUGGUAUUCCGGAGAGCAUGCUUGUUUGAGUAUCAGUAAACACCUCAACUUCCAUAUCUUUUUUGAAAUGGGAGUUGGACUUGAGUGAUCCCAACGCUUUUCCUCACCGAAAAGUGGCGGGUUACUUGAAAUGCAGGUGCAACUGGACUUUUCUCUGAGCUAUAAGCAUAUCUAUUUAGUCUGCCUAAAAAACAGAUUAUUACCUUUGCUGCAGCUAACAUAAAGGAGAUUAGUUCUUGUGCUGACUGAUGCAGGAUUCACAAAGACAGGCUUCGGCCGACUUUGUAAACUCGAUCUCAAAUCAAGUAAGACUACCCGCUGAACUUAAGCAUAUCAAUAAGCGGAGGA
rnacentral:misc_RNA from 1 species